CACACUCUUUCACAGUUAGGACUCUAUAUGGCGUCUACCCUUAAUCUAGGAUAAAACAUACCUAAUCUUUCGGAAGGUCAACUACCCGCUCCUAACUUUGUGCCGCUCUCCAUGCCCUAGGCCUAGAGACUCCAUCCGUGAGAUGUGGUCUCACUAUCCAGGUUGACGACUCCGGCGGCUGGUGGCGCUCCCAUUCGUCGCCAGCGAGCAGAAGUUGCAGCCUCGCGGCCCGAGGUACACCGCCACUGUGCACCCAACCGUCUCCCUUUCCCUCUCUGUUCUCCGUCGUAGGUCGCCGACCAUUCCUGCUGCAACUCAAUCAAUCCUAUCCCUCCCAAAUCUUUAGAUCUCUUUUGAUAUCAAGUUUUCAAAUCUAGGACCAUAGGGAUGAUCUGAGGUAGCCAUGUGUUUUUCUAUUUCCCAUUAGAUUCAUUUGUGUUCUUUUGAUCUGGAAAAGGUUGUAUCACAAGAGCAUUAGUAAUUUGUGUUGUAGGGCUCUGUAUAGGCUUUUGAUUUCUUGUUGUAACAUUAGUAUUGUUUCUCACUGUGUAUUUGUAGAACUCGCAUUGUUAUUCUUGGAGUUCCAUGUAUGUAGACCUUCACCUCUUGUAUGUAUUUCAUUGCAAUGUAUGAUCUAUGCUACAAUCCAGUCUCUCCUUAAUGCCCUUCCCAACCGAGCAUUAGUUCUCUUCUUAUUUCAAGUUUUUAUAUGUAGGAUGGUUGAUGCAUCAUAUGAGGAGGUGUAUGCAUAAUGGUUUGAAUAAAGGAGGCUGCCAUAUGUACUUGAGGACAUCAAGUUGAGGAAUUACGUUGGACUAGUGACACAACAACUCACAAUCCAAACCCUACUCAAGUUCUUCUCCCAUUAUUCCUGCUCCACCCCAUCCAUAAAUAAGCCUGCAUUGUUAAUUCCCUCCUCUUCCAUCCGUUAAAUUCAUCUCUGAACCCCUAAUAAGUUGUCUUAGUACAUCACGUUUCAUCAACAACAAUAGUUUUUUCCUUAUCUAUCUUCAUCACUUCUCUGCGUCAUAUUAUACAUUUUGGCGAGCGGAGGAGAACCAGCUAGGGUGUGAUAUGCAUAGCCUAAAGUGGCACCAUGCAGUAAGUUUCUGUUAAACUACAUCUUCAUUAAUUACCCACUAGGCAAUUUACAUUAAUUGUUUACAGGAAGCUUUACACAUGUCUUCCCUUGCGACCAUUUGUUAGACAACAAAAUUAGUUAACAAUUCCUAUAUAUCUAAUGAAUUUGGACACUAUGUUAUUUCUUCCGAGUAAACGCUAAUUGUUAGGUUAUCUACAUGGUACAGUGGUAUAUAUAAUAUUGUGUAUAAUCUAUAUUUGGUAGAUCUGUAGUAAGAUUUUCAAAUUGCCGCCCAUGCAAAAAUUAAGUUAGAUGUAUGGCGUAGUUGAGUUAUGUAGGUUCUGUUUACAGCACAUACAUGUACUAUGUUUGAAAGAGGAUCCAAAUCUAUGUUUUUUUAUUGUUAAACACAUUUGAAAUUUCACUGCAAAUGUAACCAUGGAAUCCAUAUUUCCUAGGUUCGAUCCUGAUAAUAUGAUAUUUCUUUUGGAGCUCCAGUGUUUAGAUUUUAGAGAUGCUAACUUAUACAAAAUACGCUAAUAUAUAUUGUCACCUAACAUAUUAGAGUGCCCUUUUAGUGAUUUGCAUAUUUAAAGCGGGGAGGUAUAUACAUUGAUAAUGAUCCAAAUAUUUUCAGCUAAAUAUGUUUCACGAAAUUAAUAGAUGUAUGUGUUCCAUUGUGAGCAGCAGAAUGUUCAGUGUACAUGCGUGACACUAUAUCUACUUCUUCACAUAGUACUCUAGACUAGGAACUGUAAAAAAACAUGUGAGAAAACUUAAUCACUACCAUACUAUUUUUAAGUAGCUUGCAAAUAGGACUUAUAAUCCUUAUAUGAUUUUAUUACCUCCAAUUUCAGUAUGGUUGUGUCAUUGAUCACAUUGUAACUAUUCCUGCUACUGCAGGUUUGACUUAAAUUUUAGAUUAUGUUCAUAUGGUGUUUGAUGAGGACAUUAAUACCAUUGUUACUCCCACAGCCCCUGCUAUUAUACAUACUGGACCAAUUACUAGAGCUCUCGCAUGCCAAUUAAAUUACCAUGUACUUUCGUUUCUUGGUAAUGAUUCUAAUGUUCAUGAGAAUAUGAUGCUGCCUAAAUUGGAUACAUUUGUUUUGCUUACAAAUGAAGGGCCUAGCUUGGAGAAGUAUGAACAUUGGAGCAAGAACAAGCAUGGAGUUGAUAGCAUGCGCAAGGGAAACAAAAAUGGAGUUUCCAGUGAUGAUUUCAGAACUUUGAAGCCACCAUAAUGAGUGCAUGAAGCCUUGGACGAAAUAUACAAGAUGCCACUUCAUAAAUUUCAUCGAGAGGCUAUUCUAGGUGUUGUGUCACCUUAUUAUUGGGCGAGGCCCAUGUAAUUUCAAAAUACUUGAAUAUAGGCUGUUUUUAGAGUCCGUAUGUGUGGGGAAACAAGAGUUAGGGUUGGUUUCGGACCCCUCCUCCAAGGGCCACGAAAUCCCCCCCUCUUCCUCCAUAUAUACAGCCCUAGGGCAUCGUUUAGACUUUGGGUUUUGUUUAGAUUAAAAGUUCGCCAUAGCUGCAACUUCACGUACUACGUUUGUGUUCAACGACCAGACCAAGAUGUCACAGAACCCCACCUUGAUCAAUAAAGCUUUCAUCUUAUAUUCGCAAUAUCCAGA
rnacentral:lncRNA from 1 species